AAUAUAAUAGUUCAAAUCCAUGGAUAAAACAUGUUAUUCAAAAUUCAUAUAUAUACUUUUAUGUCAAUAUCAAAAAAAAAUAAAAAAUUGAACUCUCACAUAAAUUUAUACAUAGAAGGUUGAAUAAACCCUCCUAACAUAGUACUCUAUUUAACAUUCUAUGGUUAAUUAGUUUAUAAAAAAACUUGUAAUAUAAUAGGUAAUGUAAUAUUGAUAUGACAUUACCG
rnacentral:lncRNA from 1 species